UGAAAAAUUAGAACGGGUCAUUAGGGUUGAAAGGAUUGAAAAAUUAGAACGGGUCAUUAGGGUUGAAACACAACAAAACCACGGAUGAACUGAACAAUGAACAUCAAUACAUCAUCUUCAAUCUUCAACCUCUCCUUCAAGAAAUCCUUCUUCGCUCGUUAAUCUCUCCGUCUGCAUCAACGAUUUCUUCACAUCGAAUCAGACACAGAUUGUUAAGGCCACCGGAGGUUGGUUUCCGGCUUGAAAGGCGGGGCUGGAAUCAAGUCUGCUGACAAGAACGGAAACGGAUAUGUCGAUGAGUGCGAGAUUGAAAAUCUAAUCCAGUUUUCUCAGAAGGAAUUGGGUAUUAGAAUCAUACCAUACUAACAUAUGCAUAUGUAAACCAAUAUCUCUUUAUUUUUUGUGUAAAUAACAAGAGUUCUGAAACUUGUAUGAUUCCAUCUGUAUUUUGAAUUUGCAUUUGCAUUAAUGUUAAAGAUAAUGUUGAUUUUAGAAUAUGAAGGUACAUACCCUGGAUGAA